rnacentral:rRNA from 1 species
GACGAACGCUGGCGGCGUGCUUAACACAUGCAAGUCGAACGAAGUGGCGAACGGGUGAGUAAUCCGUGGGUCACCUGCCCUCCUUUUUGGGAUAAGCCUUGGAAUCGGGGUCUAAUAUCGACUAAAGGGGGAUGGGCUCGCGGCCUCUCCGCUUGUUGGUGGGGUGUUGGCCUACCAAGGCGGUGACGGGUCGACGGCCUGACAGGUGGAACAGCGGCAUUGGGACUGGGAUACGGCCCAGACUCCUACGGGAGGCAGCGGUGGGGGGUGUUGCAGAAUGGGCGAAAGCCUGAUGCAGCGACGCCGCGUGGAGGAUGAAGGCUUUGGGAUUGUAAGCCGCUUUCGAUAUCGAGCGGGUAGGGGGAGGAGAAGCGCCGGCUAACUACGAGCCAGCAGCCGCGGUAAUAC